ACAAGCACAAUCACUGACCCACACACAAACAUUGUAUGUAAUGUUUGUGCGUGGGUCAGUGAUUGUGCUUGU
rnacentral:miRNA from 1 species